ACGACACAUACUUCUGUGCCGGAGCUAUAUACUGAAAUAGUUGCUGUGAUACAUACAGCAUAGACAUAACUGCAUGUGUCUAAUUAACAUUAUACUUAACUCUGGUGGCAAAGCACUCUUUACAUGGCUCUGGCAGCACGAUACGUUAGCCUACAGUUUGCCAGCAACUACCUCGAACCAAAGUCGUAACAACAACAAAAUGGUCAAAAGUACGCAGAAGUAUUCCAACACCAGGACAUGCAGCAAAUCUCCGCACAAAAGCUGAGAGCAGGGAGCCAAGAGCUGGGACCAGCUGCUGCUGCUGCCUAAAUCCAGGAGCAACAGCUCGUAGCGUUGGUGGCGAUAUGCACCUUGUUGUUAGUGAUGCUCCGAUAAACCACAGGAAGGAAAAAGAUGUGAUGGCAGAGGAACACCUGUGGGAAGUGAUGGAAUAAGAGAUGGCAGCCUGAUGAAUCAUGUCAACAUGGAGCAGAGUCCCAGAGGUAGUAGGAGGGAAUCAGGGAGUGAUUUUCGACUUAGUCUCAACAUGCUGUAUAUGCACUGUAUAUCAAUGGGGGAUCUGCUGUGAAGCACCCAAAUACUUCUAAUUAUCAAACAAGCAGAAAACAUGUUGAUUGGAUGCUGGUAGAUCCAAAUGCAACAUUUAGAACAAAAGCAGAUAAAUUAUUCUGGGGAAAUGAGCAGCGAUGCUUAUUCCAAUGUCUCGCCUAGAAUGUCUUCAGCCCUGCCCUCUUACAGAGUUUUUUUGUUUAGGUUAAUUAACAUGAGUCAUAUCCAGUAGCAGUUCAUACCAGUGUCUUCAGACCACUUGACUUCUGCACACUUUGUGCUUGGUAGAAGCUCCUUUGGCAGCAAUUACACCUCCACUGUUUUGGGGCAGGCCUAUACAGGCUCUGCACACCUGGAAUUUGGCGGUACUUCUCAUUAUUCCUGGCGGAUCCUCUCAGGAGCUGUCAGACUAGAUGGGAAGUCUCUAUGAACUGCCAGGUCUCCCUGCAGAUGUUAUAUCAGGUUUAAUUCUGGACUUUGGCUGAUUCGCUCAAGGACACCAGUGUUUUCUUGACUGUCUGCUUCAGUCCAUUGUUAUGCUGAAAAACUUAGCCCCUGAGUAUUUGGCUCUGUUCAGAACUAGUAUAAACAUCAUCUCUAAGAGAGAGAGGGAG